GACGUAGGGGGCCAGCGUUGCUCGGAAUUACUGGGCGUAAAGGGCGCGUAGGCGGCCUGUUAAGUCGAACGUGAAAUCCCCGGGCUCAACCCGGGAACUGCGUCCGAUACUGGCAGGCUUGAAUUCGGGAGAGGGAUGCGGAAUUCCAGGUGUAGCGGUGAAAUGCGUAGAUAUCUGGAGGAACACCGGUGGCGAAGGCGGCAUCCUGGACCGAGAUUGACGCUGAGGCGCGAAAGCCAGGGGAGCAAACGGG
rnacentral:rRNA from 1 species